UUUUGGCUAAGAUCAAGUGUAGUAUCUGUUCUUAUCAGUUUAAUAUCUGAUAUGUGGGUCAUCGACCCACUCGAUAUUAAUCUUAUUUUUUAUGGAUCGGAAGAGGGU